rnacentral:rRNA from 1 species
GUGGGGAAUCUUGCGCAAUGGGCGAAAGCCUGACGCAGCCAUGCCGCGUGGAUGAUGAAGGUCUUAGGAUUGUAAAAUCCUUUCACCGGUGAAGAUAAUGACUGUAGCCGGAGAAGAAGCCCCGGCUAACUUCGUGCCAGCAGCCGCGGUAAUACGAAGGGGGCUAGCGUUGUUCGGAAUUACUGGGCGUAAAGGGAGCGUAGGCGGACAUUUAAGUCAGGGGUGAAAUCCCGAGGCUCAACCUCGGAACUGCCUUUGAUACUGGGUGUCUUGAGUGUGAGAGAGGUGAGUGGAACUCCGAGUGUAGAGGUGAAAUUCUUAGAUAUUCGGAAGAACACCAGUGGCGAAGGCGACUCACUGGCUCAUUACUGACGCUGAGGCUCGAAAGCGUGGGGAGCAAACAGGAUUAGAUACCCUAGUAGUCC